CUUUCUUUCUUUCUCUCUUUCCAGGUCCUAGAUACUGGGGUCCCAAGCUGAAGAUAGCAACAAAAAGAAGGCUAAAUAGAGCCUCCUGGCUGCCAGGGCUUAACCAAAAAUCUGCAAACACACCAGCAUUAACUCAGGAGGUUGCAAAAUGCAAGGAGAGAAAAAGGUGAGAAACAGACGUCCCACGGUCCCGUCUUGGCAGAUGCAGACGGCAGCAGUCUCCAUCAAUUAAAAGGUCUGCAGUGAUCCCCCACUUGGCCCUACGUCUUCAUUACCUCAGCACCACAAUGACAUGUACGACCAGACCACACUGGCUAUGAUGUUCUGCUUAGCAGUGGGUUCAGAGCAAUGGAGUCUGCCGACCAUGAAGUCAACUGCUGAAACUGUGAGCCAAACUUUUCCUUCUCUAAAAUGUUCUUGUCAGGUAUUUUUUAAUAUAUAUAUUAAAAAUGUGUGUGUGUAUGUGUAUACACACACACAUACAUUUAU